GUGGAACGUGUUAAGAGAGGAAUA
rnacentral:miRNA from 1 species